GAUUGGUGCUUGCAUCAUGAUUUACAUUUGAGUGAGUGGCGAACUGGUGAGUAACACGUGGGAAACCUGCCCAGAAGCGGGGGAUAACACCUGGAAACAGAUGCUAAUACCGCAUAACAACUUGGACCGCAGGUCCGAGUUUGAAAGAUGGCUUCGGCUAUCACUUUUGGAUGGUCCCGCGGCGUAUUAGCUAGAUGGUGGGGUAACGGCUCACCAUGGCAAUGAUACGUAGCCGACCUGAGAGGGUAAUCGGCCACAUUGGGACUGAGACACGGCCCAACAUCCUACGGGAGGCAGCAGUAGGGAAUCUUCCACAAUGGACGAAAGUCUGAUGGAGCAACGCCGCGUGAGUGAAGAAGGGUUUCGGCUCGUAAAACUCUGUUGUUAAAGAAGAACAUAUCUGAGAGUAACUGUUCAGGUAUUGACGGUAUUUAACCAGAAAGCCACGGCUAACUACGUGCCAGCAGCCGCGGUAAUACGUAGGUGGCAAGCGUUGUCCGGAUUUAUUGGGCGUAAAGCGAGCGCAGGCGGUUUUUUAAGUCUGAUGUGAAAGCCUUCGGCUCAACCGAAGAAGUGCAUCGGAAACUGGGAAACAUGAGUGCAGAAGAGGACAGUGGAACUCCAUGUGUAGCGGUGAAAUGCGUAGAUAUAUGGAAGAACACCAGUGGCGAAGGCGGCUGUCUGGUCUGUAACUGACGCUGAGGCUGCAAA
rnacentral:rRNA from 2 species